CCAACGUUGUCGGGGGAUGCAUGUUAAAGGAGAUGGGGAUUAGAUUUUUAAGGGAUGAAAUCCAAACCCUGUCAACUAAUUUAAUUAACAGACUUGCAUUUCCAUUUUAUUUUAUUUCUUGGGACCAGUGGUAUUAAUGUAAUUCAUCCUCCUUCCCUGAUGGGAUUUAAAUUCCCAAUUAUGUGAAGGAUGGACCACAUGUGAGUUUGGAAUGGGAAUAGGAUGGCCAUGUGAGGUCCAACUAUUUUUCCCAAGGCAAAUGGAAUUGAAUGCAUAAAUAGAACCCAUGUUUUCCUUUCCUACUAGACUUUGGAAAGCAAAAAUAUGAAGUCAUACAAUGCAUGUUUGUGUGUG
rnacentral:lncRNA from 1 species